UAGAGUUUGAUCCUGGCUCAGGAUGAACGCUGGCGGCGUGCUAUACAUGCAAGUCGAACGCACAGCGAAAGGUGCUUGCACCUUUCAAGUGAGUGGCGAACGGGUGAGUAACACGUGGAUAACCUACCUCAAGGUUGGGGAUAACAUUUGGAAACAGAUGCUAAUACCGAAUAAAACUUCGUAUCGCAUGAUACAAGGUUAAAAGGCGCUACGGCGUCACCUAGAGAUGGAUCCGCGGUGCAUUAGUUAGUUGGUGGGGUAAAGGCCUACCAAGACAAUGAUGCAUAGCCGAGUUGAGAGACUGAUCGGCCACAUUGGGACUGAGACACGGCCCAAACUCCUACGGGAGGCUGCAGUAGGGAAUCUUCCACAAUGGGCGAAAGCCUGAUGGAGCAACGCCGCGUGUGUGAUGAAGGCUUUCGGGUCGUAAAGCACUGUUGUAUGGGAAGAACAGCUAGAGUAGGGAAUGACUUUAGUUUGACGGUACCAUACCAGAAAGGGACGGCUAAAUACGUGCCAGCAGCCGCGGUAAUACGUAUGUCCCGAGCGUUAUCCGGAUUUAUUGGGCGUAAAGCGAGCGCAGACGGUUGAUUAAGUCUGAUGUGAAAGCCCGGAGCUCAACUCCGGAAAGGCAUUGGAAACUGGUCAACUUGAGUGCAGUAGAGGUAAGUGGAACUCCAUGUGUAGCGGUGGAAUGCGUAGAUAUAUGGAAGAACACCAGCGGCGAAGGCGGCUUACUGGA
rnacentral:rRNA from 1 species